UUUUCCUUGCAACGUAAUAACCAACAUAAAUAACAACAAGAAUCUUUCCUCCCCUUCAGAUUCUUCAACAACAUCAUUAACUUUUUAAUAUCUUCCUCUCAGCAUUAAUGCAAUUUGUAUCCAAAUUGAGAAUAAGAAACAUCCGAAUCACCUUUUACUUUCAUUAUUGUCUACAUAAACCAUCAAAAGUGUCCCAAAUCAACUGAUUUGUUCACCAACUGCUUGAUCUUUUUUGCUUGUUUCAUUAUUACUCUGUCCUUAUUACUUGUUCAACUCCAAUCAUGAAUAAAUUAAUCUUGUACAGUUUCAUCGGGAUCAUUGUUUCCUUUUUACUGAUCGCUUCAACUCCAUCAAGUGAGGCUUUUUUUGUUCUCGUGGGUAACACAACAGCUUGUGAUACUUGUGAUGACUACAGCACUUACUCGGGACGUAAUGUUCUAUGUUGUUUCACCAAAAGCCAAUGCUGCGGACUCAACUCUUUUGAUGAGGAAGCUCCACAAUCUGGUUGAUCAUAACGCUCAUCAAUAUGCUAAUUAAUGGAAUGGUGUUUUUGUCAUUUGCUGGCGAAUCUCUUGGCACAUCGACUUUUUAAUGGAAUGUCUGUCUUCUGCUCUUGUCUUUUACAAUUUUAUUAAAUUUUCUAAUUAAUGCACAA